CCUACGGAGGGCAGCAGUAGUGAAUCUUGCGCAAUGGGCGAAAGCCUGACGCAGCAACGCCACGUGAUCGAGACGCCCUUCGGGGUGUAACGAUCUGUCAGUGGGUACGAAACUUGACGGUACCCACAGAGGAAGCAACGGCUCACACCGUGCCAGCAGCCGCGGUAAUACGGGGGGUGCAAGCGUGGUCAGGAAUCAUUGGGCGUAAAGAGUUCGUAGGCGGCACGUAAAGUCUGGUGUUAAAGGCAGAGGAUCAACUUCUGUACGGCACUGGAUACUUGCGAGCUAGAAUGCGGUAGAGGUAAAGGGAAUUCCUGGUGUAGCGGUGAAAUGCUUAGAUAUCAGGAGGAACAUCGGUGGCGUAAGCGCUUUACUGGGCCGUAAUUGACGCUGAGGAACGAAAGCCAGGGUAGCAAAUGGGAUUAGAUACCCGAGUAGUC
rnacentral:rRNA from 1 species